CACCGCGGUUAUACGAGAGGUCCAAGUUGAUGAUAUACCGGCGUAAAGAGUGGUUAGGGGAAACAAAAUAAACUAAAGCCAAACACCUUCAGAACUGUUAUACGUACCCGAAGGCAUGAAGAACCACCACGAAAGUGGCUUUACCAACCCUGAACCCACGAAAGCUAUGAAA
rnacentral:rRNA from 1 species